UGCAGUCGAACGGCAGCAUGAUCUAGCUUGCUAGAUUGAUGGCGAGUGGCGAACGGGUGAGUAAUACAUCGGAACGUGCCCUGUAGUGGGGGAUAACUAGUCGAAAGAUUAGCUAAUACCGCAUACGACCUGAGGGUGAAAGUGGGGGACCGCAAGGCCUCAUGCUAUAGGAGCGGCCGAUGUCUGAUUAGCUAGUUGGUGAGGUAAAGGCUCACCAAGGCGACGAUCAGUAGCUGGUCUGAGAGGACGAUCAGCCACACUGGGACUGAGACACGGCCCAGACUCCUACGGGAGGCAGCAGUGGGGAAUUUUGGACAAUGGGGGCAACCCUGAUCCAGCAAUGCCGCGUGUGUGAAGAAGGCCUUCGGGUUGUAAAGCACUUUUGUCCGGAAAGAAAUCGCACUUACUAAUAUUAGGUGUGGAUGACGGUACCGGAAGAAUAAGGACCGGCUAACUACGUGCCAGCAGCCGCGGUAAUACGUAGGGUCCAAGCGUUAAUCGGAAUUACUGGGCGUAAAGCGUGCGCAGGCGGUUGUGCAAGACCGAUGUGAAAUCCCCGGGCUUAACCUGGGAAUUGCAUUGGUGACUGCACGGCUAGAGUGUGUCAGAGGGGGGUAGAAUUCCACGUGUAGCAGUGAAAUGCGUAGAGAUGUGGAGGAAUACCGAUGGCGAAGGCAGCCCCCUGGGAUAACACUGACGCUCAUGCACGAAAGCGUGGGGAGCAAACAGGAUUAGAUACCCUGGUAGUCCACGCCCUAAACGAUGUCAACUAGUUGUUGGGGAUUCAUUUCCUUAGUAACGUAGCUAACGCGUGAAGUUGACCGCCUGGGGAGUACGGUCGCAAGAUUAAAACUCAAAGGAAUUGACGGGGACCCGCACAAGCGGUGGAGAAAUGUGGAAUUAAUUCGAUGCAACGCGAAAAACCUUACCUACCCUUGACAUGCCACUAACGAAGCAGAGAUGCAUUAGGUGCUCGAAAGAGAAAGUGGACACAGGUGCUGCAUGGCUGUCGUCAGCUC
rnacentral:rRNA from 1 species